rnacentral:misc_RNA from 1 species
UUCACAAUAAAGACAUGUUCAAGAGAUUGUGAAUUUUUUUUUAUAUUCAAAAUUCACUUCAGGUUCACUCCUAUUUUCUCCAUUGCAAACUCUGGUUGCCCAUCAUCCUCUUCUCCAUCAUUUUCCUCCUUAGAAUCCUCAUUCGUACCAAAUAUAUCAUCAAGAAAAUCUUGCUCCUGCUCAGUGCUCUUGUCAUUCUUAUUGAAAACUUCACUUGAAGCAUUUUGGUCUUCUUUUGAUUUGUCAUAAUUUCCAAGA